ensembl:lncRNA LINC00662 long intergenic non-protein coding RNA 662
CCCAGCCAGCAUGGCCGGCAGGAGCGCACCGCGCUGUCUCCCUCCAGGGAUCCGCACCGCCCUACAAUCCUGCUUUGUGCUGAGAUUGUAGUCCUGCAGGCGUACAACUAACAAGCUGGGUGCAGAUAAGAGACUACAGCUCCCCGCAUCCCAAGCAAAGGUCCCUCCUCUACGGAGCCCCUCCACGCGUCCACUGCGGUUCCGCCGUGCCAAGGGGAGCUUGGCUGUUCACGGGCCUCACCUGCUAGCGAGAAGAUAGCUUGGCCGGGCGGCUGAUCUCACCUUGUAAUUCUGACACUGUGUCUCCCGGGCUUGUCGGCUUCAUGACUUGUGCCCAAAGUUUGAUUUCUCGCAGACCAGGACCCAUUGGACCCCCGGGCUGGCUGCAGGGCCCACACCUGGGUUAGACCUCGCACAGGGACGCUGCUGCCACUGUAAUAAAGCGUGCCUACACGCUUCUGAAACUGGUGUAGGAACAACCUCAGUUCUGUGAAAGGCGGACGCAGCAGGACAGAAUCUCCGUGGACAUCUGUCUGGAGGAGCAAUUUUACUGCGACAUUUUAAAGAAACAAAUUUAAUUGAUUUCCAAGUUAUUUGAGACAGAGUCUCGCUCUGUCACCAGGCUGUACAGUGCCGUGGCCUGUCUCGGCUCACUGCAACCUCCACCUCCUGGGUUCAAGCGAUUCUUAUGCCUCAGCCUCCCAAGUAUCUGGGACUACAGGCAUGCGCCACCACGCCCAGCUGAUUUUUGUAUUUUUAGUAGAGACGGGGUUUCACCAUGUUGACCAGGAUGGUCUCAAUCUCUUGACCUCGUUAUCCGGCUGCCUCCUCCUCCCAAAGUGCUGGGAUUACAGGCGUGAGCCACCAUGCCUGGCCACAUCUACUUUUUUAAAUGUGUCAUUAUAUUUGUGAUAUUGUCAUGAUGUUUUCUACUUAUAUUUUAUUCAAAAAUUUUAUACUUUAAGUUCUUACCUUUAGGUCUUUGAUGCAUUUUUAUUUGUUUAUGGUGUAGGGUAAAUGUUCAACUUCAUCCUUUUGCUUGUGGAUAUCCAUUUUUUCCCAGCACCAAUUGUUAUAAAGACAGUCCUUUGCCCAUUGAACGGUCUUUGUAUCCCCAUCAAAAAUUAUUUGACCAUAUGCUGCUUUAUACUGUUCCAGUGUCCAUAUGUGUGUCUCUUUGCCAGUACCACACUAUUUUGGAACUUUGUAUUAAGCUUUGGAAUGAAUAAGUGUACAUUUUGUAACACUGGACUUCUUUUUCAAGAUAAUUUUGACUCAUUGGGGUCCCUUGAGAUUCCAUAUGAAAUUUAGGUAGGAUUUUUCUAUUUCUGCAAAAUAGAAUUUUUUGCUUUUUUUGUUACUCCCGACGUAUUUUAUUCUUUUCAGUGCUAUUGUAAAUGUGCUUGUUUGCUUAGUUUUGUUUUCUAAUUAUUCAUCAUUACUGUAUAGAAACACAAGUGAUAUUUGCAUGUUAAUUUUGUAUGCUGCUACUAUGCUGAAUUUAUUAGUUGUAAUACUUUUUGUGUGGAUCUGUGAAAUCUCUAGAGCUUUCCACAUAAAAUUAUAUUAUCUGUAGGCUAGAGUAAUUUUACCUCUACAUUUCCAAUUUGGAUAGUUUGUUUCUUUUUAAUUCUUAAUUUGACUAGAACUUCCAACACUAUGUGGAAUAGAAAUAGCAAAAGCAGACACCUUUGCCUUGUUCCUGAGCUUAGAGCAGAAGCUUUUUGUCUUUCACCCUGGAGUACAUUGUUUGAUGUGGUUUUUUAAUGUGUGGAUUUCACAAUGGUAGUAUUUUAGUUUUAAAAUUCCUACUUUUUUGAGUGUUUUCACCCUGAAAAGAUUUUGAAUUUCAUAAAAUACUUUUCUCUGCAUCCAUGAGGUGAUCAAUGUUUCUUUUAUUUUGUUAAUGUGUACACAUUGAUCAAUUUUUAUAUGUUAAAAAAUUCAUGUUUUAAGAUAUCCUUGCAUUCUAAGAAUAAAUUGCACUUGGUCGUGGUGA